AAGAGUAAAGUACUUCCGCUUCCUUAGGUGGAGCUGGAAAGGUGGAGGCGGAAGUGACUGAUCAAUUCAGGGGCGUGGGGUUCGUUUAGGUUUUGCCCUGUGUAUGACCUCGUUUGGAGCCAUGAAACCAGGUGGCUUUUCUACAAUAUAAAGAUGGAAAUGGGAAGAAGAUGUUCAUUGCAAAUUAAGAUAAAUAUCAAGGAGUGCAAUUCCUGGAUUUAUGAUGUCUGAGGAAUAGUCUUAGUGGAUUAUCCCAAACUUGACACAUUUUUUGCAAAAUGCUAUACAAAAAGAAGAUACAUGCGAUUAUGACAAGAUUCUCCACUUGGUGUGACCAGUCUCAUACAACCCAAGGCUGUGUGUCCAAAGGCAACUGUACUGCACAUGACAGAAUUGCUCUGUUGAAGUUUUGCAAGGUCAAAUGACUCACUUUGUCUAAUGGAACGGGAACGAACAAUUUUUUUGUGUCACGUUUGAACAGAUACCUUUGAGAAGUUUAUGAUUCUCCAAGUUCUCUUUCUCCUACUGUGGCACCUACUGACAAGAUAAAUGUGUAGAGGUUCCUGAGUCUAGGGGCACUGGAACCAGCUGACUGAUCUAUGGAAGUUCCCUUGGUCUCCAUUUGUUUAGAAAAGGGACUGGUCAAAGGCUGACGUUUGCUUUUGGUGACAUUGCAUUAAUUGUCUCCCAUGAGACUGCUAGGGUGCUGAAGGGAUGAAGAAACUGAGGCCCACAGAAGGUGGGUGAUACCUGCAAAAUCACAAGCUUUCAUGGUGAAAGAAGAGGGCAAAACUCAACCCGUCUCUUUAGACUUGGGAAGAAUAUGAAAGGACCAGGAGGGACACCUUUCCUAAUAACCUAGCUGAUGGUUCACUUAUUAGGCUGGAAAGCUGAAAAAUGACAUUCCCAGACUCCAUUGAAAUUAGAUUUCCAGAGAGUUGUCUCACUAAGCCCAAAUUUGUCUAACUGGCCUUAUUUCCCUGGAGUAUAUCCUGGAAGUUUCCAUUCAAGCCAAUUUAAGUUACUUUAAAUUAGGAAAGGCAGAAAACAAAAGCCCAAACCUUUGUAAAGGAGGAGGAUUUGCUACAUUGUUCUCAAUUCAUCACAGAAGAGGAUGAAACUGAGUGAUUACACUUGCUGGAGAGAAAAAAAGUCCUUCCCCCGCUCACCCCAAAUAAAGCAUUAACUUUAUGUUAAUCCAUGAA
rnacentral:lncRNA from 1 species